GCAUCGGGGUUCAAUGUUAGAAUGUUCGUUUCCCAAUCGAGUGUUCCGGGUUCGAUUCCCGGCCGAUGCA